rnacentral:tRNA from 1 species
GCCCUCGUCUUUGGAGAAGAAUCGGUUUUUGUAAAACCGUAACGCGAGUUCAAAUCUCGCCGAGGGCA